rnacentral:rRNA from 1 species
GAUGAACGCUGGCGGCGUGCCUAAUACAUGCAAGCCAAGCGAAUGGAUUAAGAGCUUGCUCUUAUGAAGUUAGCGGCGGACGGGUGAGUAACACGUGGGUAACCUGCCCAUAAGACUGGGAUAACUCCGGGAAACCGGGGCUAAUACCGGAUAAUAUUUUGAACUGCAUGGUUCAAAAUUGAAAGGCGGCUUCGGCUGUCACUUAUGGAUGGACCCGCGUCGCAUUAGCUAGUUGGUGAGGUAACGGCUCACCAAGGCAACGAUGCGUAGCCGCACUGGGAGGGUGAUCGGCCACACUGGGACUGAGACACGGCCCAGACUCCUACGGGAGGCAGCAGUAGGGAAUCUUCCGAAAUGGACGAAAGUCUGACGGAGCAACGCCGCGUGGGUGAUGAAGGCUUUCGGGUCGUAAAACUCUGUUGUUAGGGAAGAACAAGUGCUAGUUGAAUAAGCUGGCACCUUGACGGUACCUAACCAGAAAGCCACGGCUAACUACGUGCCAGCCGCCGCCGUAA